rnacentral:tRNA from 2 species
GCGGUCGUGGUGGAACGGCAGACACGCUACCUUGAGGUGGUAGUGCCUUCGGGUGUGCGGGUUCAAAUCCCGCCGACCGCA